GAUGAACGCUGGCGGCGUGCCUAAUACAUGCAAGUCGAGCGAACAGAUGAGGAGCUUGCUCCUCUGACGUUAGCGGCGGACGGGUGAGUAACACGUGGAUAACCUACCUAUAAGACUGGGAUAACAUCGGGAAACCGGAGCUAAUACCGGAUAAUAUAUUGAACCGCAUGGUUCAAUAGUGAAAGACGGUUUUGCUGUCACUUAUAGAUGGAUCCGCGCCGCAUUAGCUAGUUGGUAAGGUAACGGCUUACCAAGGCAACGAUGCGUAGCCGACCUGAGAGGGUGAUCGGCCACACUGGAACUGAGACACGGUCCAGACUCCUACGGGAGGCAGCAGUAGGGAAUCUUCCGCAAUGGGCGAAAGCCUGACGGAGCAACGCCGCGUGAGUGAUGAAGGUCUUCGGAUCGUAAAACUCUGUUAUUAGGGAAGAACAAAUGUGUAAGUAACUAUGCACGUCUUGACGGUACCUAAUCAGAAAGCCACGGCUAACUACGUG
rnacentral:rRNA from 1 species